UACUUCGUGAGAACUAACAUGGAUGCUAUAGGAAAGAGAGAGAACGAAUUUUGUAGGAUCAGCAUGCCCCUGCCUCCGAUAGAUGAGAAAGGCCUAGAGGAAAUCCUACAGCAGUCUCGUCACAGUUCAUCGGCCGGCAAAGAGGCUGCAUGACAGCUGGGAGGCGAAGUGUUGCCCUGCGAGAGGAGAAGAAACAAGCCACCACCGGCCGUGUGAUGAAUUCUGAAAGAUGGAAAAUGUGUUUGCGUUGCAACGAGCUGUUCUGU